UACAGAGGUCCCAAGCGUUGUUCGGAUUCACUGGGCGUAAAGGGCGCGUAGGUGGCCAGGUAAGUUUGGUGUGAAAGCUCGGAGCUUAACUCCGAAAUGUCAUUGAAUACUAUCUGGCUGGAGGGUCGGAGGGGAGACUGGAAUUCUCGGUGUAGCAGUGAAAUGCGUAGAUAUCGAGAGGAACACCAGUGGCGAAGGCGAGUCUCUGGACGACUCCUGACGCUGAGGCACGAAAGCUAGGGGAGCAAACAGG
rnacentral:rRNA from 1 species